GAAGAGGAAGCAGAGUAAUUGGAUGUACCGCACUCGAAAUGCGGCAUACCUGCAAGGGUAUCGUGGGUUCAAAUCCCACCCUCUCCGCCA
rnacentral:tRNA from 1 species